GGAGUUAGCCGGUGCUUCUUCUGUGAGUGAUGUCCUUCCUGCCGGCUAUUAACCCGCAGGCCUUCUUCCUCACUGAAAGUGCUUUACAACCCGAAGGCCUUCUUCACACACGCGGCAUGGCUGGAUCAGGGUUGCCCCCAUUGUCCAAUAUUCCCCACUGCUGCCUCCCGUAGGAGUCUGGGCCGUGUCUCAGUCCCAGUGUGGCUGAUCAUCCUCUCAGACCAGCUACGGAUCGUCGCCUUGGUGAGCCGUUACCUCACCAACCAGCUAAUCCGACAUAGGCUCAUCCGAUAGCGCGAGGCCCGAAGGUCCCCCGCUUUCCCCCGUAGGGCGUAUGCGGUAUUAGCCUGGGUUUCCCCAGGUUAUCCCCACUACCGGGCAGAUUCCUAUGCAUUACUCACCCGUCCGCCGCUCGCCACCAGGGAGCAAGCUCCCCGUGCUGCCGCUCGACUUGCAUGUGUUAGGCCUGCCGCCAGCGUUCAAUCUGAGCCAGAAUCAAACUCUGA
rnacentral:rRNA from 1 species